rnacentral:tRNA from 1 species
CCGAUAUAGCUCAGUAGGUAGAGCGAUUCACUCGUAAUGAAUAGGUCAGCGGUUCGAAUCCGCUUAUCGG